rnacentral:rRNA from 1 species
CACUUCUAAGGAAGGCAGCAGGCGCGCAAAUUACCCAAUCCUGACUCAGGGAGGUAGUGACAAGAAAUAACAAUAAACCGGCUUAUGCCGGUUUAAUUGGAAUGAGUACAAUUUAAACAUCUUAACGAGGAACAAUUGGAGGGCAAGUCUGGUGCCAGCAGCCGCGGUAAUUCCAGCUCCAAUAGCGUAUACUAAAGUUGUUGCAGUUAAAAAGCUCGUAGUUGGAUUUCUGUGGGGACGGAGCGGCCGGCCGCACAUCGCGGUUCGAGCUAGCGCUUUCCCUACAUCCUGCCGCGAACCGUGCUACCAUUAAUUUGGUGGCGCCGGGGAUCGGCUCGAUUACUUUGAGAAAAAUAGAGUGUUCAAAGCAGGCCACAUGCCUUGAAUAAGUUAGCAUGGAAUAAUAACUAAGGACUUCGGUUCUAUUUUGUUGGUGUUCGGGACUGAAGUAAUGAUUGAUAGGGACAGUUGGGGCGGUCUGUAUUCCAAAGCGAGAGGUGAAAUUCUUAGACCUUCGGAAGACGAACAGCUGCGAAAGCGUUCCGCAAGGAUGUUCCCUUUGAUCAAGAACGAAAGUUGGGGGAUCGAAGACGAUCAGAUACCGUCGUAGUCUCAACUAUAAACUAUACCAGCUAGGGAUCGGCCAACGUUAUUUUAUACCGACUUGGUCGGCACCUUAUGAGAAAUCAAAGCAUCUGGGUUCCGGGGGGAGUAUGGUCGCAAGGCUGAAACUUAAAGGAAUUGACGGAAGGGCACCACCAGCCGUGGAGCCUGUGGCUUAAUUUGACUCAACACGGGAAAACUUACCAGGUCCAGACAUAGUAAGGAUUGACAGAUUGAUAGCUCUUUCUUGAUUCUGUGGGUGGUGGUGCAUGGCCGUUCUUAGUUGGUGGAGUGAUUUGUCUGGUUAAUUCCGUUAACGAACGAGACCCCAGCCUGCUAAAUAGCGCGCGUGAGCUUUGCUCGCGGCGAGCUUCUUAGAGGGACUCUGAUGCGCGAUAGCACAUGGAAGUUUGGGGCAAUAACAGGUCUGUGAUGCCCUUAGAUGUUCUGGGCCGCACACGGGCUACACUGGCGCCUGCAACGAGCAUAUCAGCUGGCCCGAGAGGGUCUUGGCUAAUCUUUUGAACCGGCGCCGUGCUUGGGAUUGACCUUUGCAAUUGUUGGUCAUGCAACGAGGAAUGCCUUGUAAACGCGAGUCAUCAGCUCGCAUUGAAUACGUCCCUGCCCUUUGUACACACCGCCCGUCGCUCCUACCGAUGAAUGUUCCGAUGAAAUUUUCGGAGAGUGCCUGUGAACUUGGCUCUGCCUUGCGAACGGGAAGCUCAAAGUCACUUAAAUCUGAACAUUUCGAGG